GACGAACGCUGGCGGCGUGCUUAACACAUGCAAGUGGAGCGACGAACCGGGGCUUGCCCCGGGGCAGAGCCGCGAACGGGUGAGUAACACGUGGGUUACCUGCCCUGAUGACCGGGACAACCCGUCGAAAGACGGGCUAAUACCGGAUGUGCCCGCAAGGGGAAAGGAGGCGUAAGCUUCCGCAUCGGGAUGGGCCCGCGGAGCAUUAGCUUGUUGGUGAGGUAAAAGCUCACCAAGGCUUCGAUGCUUAGCUGGUCUGAGAGGACGAUCAGCCACACUGGGACUGAGACACGGCCCAGACUCCUACGGGAGGCAGCAGUGGGAAUCUUGCGCAAUGCGCGAAAGCGUGAACGCAGCAACGCCGCGUGCGGGAAGACGGCC
rnacentral:rRNA from 1 species